UCUCGAUUAGUCUAGUGGUUAGGAUGCAGGCUUGUCACGCCUGAGACCGGGGUUCGAUUCCCCGAUCGAGAG